GCCUUCAGCGAGAGCCAAUCAUUUGCAUAUCACCAUGGCACUACAGUUGUAUAUCAUGUGUGCGGUGUUAUCAUGAAGCCUUAAAGCCUGCAUAAACCAAAUCAAAGGAAAUGCUUUAACAGGUAGGCCUAUGGUCUGUCUGAAGAAGGAGGAACAUGGACAGAGACAGGUAGAACUGAACGCUUCGACUCGCCAAGCCCAGAGCUGUGAUGUCGGGCCUCUAACAACUCACUGGAACUCUCCUUCCUAAUGUUCAGCUAAUUUGGCUCUUCCGCUGUGUCCUCGGGCCGUUAUGUCUGGGUCUCUGAAAGAUUCCCCCUGGAGCUCUGAGCAAGGCUCACCCUAGACGACCUGGUCUGGCUGCUCCCUGUUCCCACUGACCUUUGGGCAGAGGACACAUCUCUGGCUGCAAGCACAGCAUAUGGUCCGUAGGCCACAACAUUGUCUGAGCCAGUCGUGUCAGAUCAGAAGAAGGGGAAGUCCUAAAAGGGGAACCUUUUAUCUUGGUGACACCGCUUUUCACCUCCACUGGUGACUUACUGGGGGCCGGUGCUCCUGUUGCACCCUGGGAUACCAAACGAUGGAGGAUGCCUCUAGCCCACGUACCCUGGCAACCGUUCUUGAAGCCUACAGCUCCACUCUCCAAACCUCCACCCCCUAACCCCUCCACUCCAUCCCUUCACCCAGCGUCCCCAGUCCAGGGCUCUGGCCACACAUAAACCCCAGACAGGCCUCUGAUGGAUGGGGCUGGAGAGAGAAGAAAAGCCCUUGAUGUUAGAAAUAAAUCUGACAGGCCCUACUGGAAAGGGCUAGGCCUAAUCUUUCCCAGACUAAGGUUUUUUCCUUUUCUUAUUUUUUAUAUCCUUCUCUCUCUUUAUUUCCACCCCCACUCUCUUCUCUUCGUCCAUGUCUACAGAGAUAAUGCUGUAAUUUACAGCCAAGCAUUAUGGAAGAUGAAUGAUAGUUGCUUUUUAGACUUAAUACACAUUAGCCUUUAACAGAUAAUAGCCUACUGGUAAGAGGAAAACAAAGAAAUACCUUCAAAAGGAAUUUGUUUUUUGGUCAUAUUCUUCCCCUGAUGUUCUAAAUGUUAUAUAAUUCCUAUUCUUUCAUAAGAUUCAAAGUUGCUACUGAUCAAAGUACACUGAUCAAUCUUCUUUUCAAAGGUACCUUGCUUUUAUUUUUCAUAUUCAUGGUUAAAGUAUGGUGGAGAAUAGACAGUAAAGCAAUGCUUUUCCCAUUUCUAUGACUGUUUGUGAUUCUCCUGAGUGUAUACAUGUGUGACACUGGCUGUAAAGAAACACUGUGGAUAUAAUUUGAAACACACACGAACACACACACACAGGUCAACAGCAGAUCCACAACAGUGGUUUCAGGGCCACUGACAGUCACUCAAUUAGCUAACCAUUUUUAGAUUGGUAAGUUACUUUAGCCAGUUAUCUAAACUUGUAGUAGUCAUGGCCGAAUAGGGACCGGGCACGCAAGGCACGUGCCCAGGGGCCCUGACCUCCAAGGGGCCACCAUUGAUUUUGUUAGUCACUUUCACUCAGGUAUCAUUAACAUGGCAAAAUGUGUAUAAUUGUAGGAAAUUUGCUUUAAAUCUGCUAAGAUUUCUCUUCACCCCAUGGCAAAAUGGGUAGAACUGCAGAAAACUUGCUUUAAAACUGCAACAACAACAAAAGCUUUUCUCUACCCUAUGGCAAAAUGUGUAGAAUUGGAAAUGAACUUUAAACGUACAUUUCUCUCCCCAGUCAAGAGGUGGGCCACUAAAAAUGUUUGCUCGCUUGUUUAGGGCCCCCAAAAUGCUAGAGUGGUUUGGUUCUGCAUGCAUCAGCCAGCUCCGUGCUAUAGCAGAGGAUCAGCCUUGCGGACAGUGGAGUGUGCAGUGCAGGAAUCCCAGUGUCUGUCCUCUGGCCAGUCUCCACAGUUUCCCCUGGGAACCUCCAUUGACUCUUCUGAAUGGCCCUAAUGACCUGAGCUGCUCCCAGGCCGCUGGCCAACGCUCUAACAGGUGGCAUGCAGGGGUGAAAGAUCAAGUCAAUGUGUGUGUCAAUAGGUUACCUAACACAGAGACACAAUCAAAGCAGUAAAUGGACCCUAAAACACGACCUUAUUCACUUUAGUCAAACGGACUAAUUUCAAGUUGUAUUUUCACUGACAUUAAUUACCUCUGCAGAAAUGACAUUCGUAUGUGUUUAUUUUGGUUCGUUAGGUCAAGUCAACCUUACUGAAAAUGAAUGGAUAAAACCAAACAAAUACAGUAAUCAGAAUAAGAGCUCAACCAUGCUGUACACGGAGCAUGGGGUUUGGACCCCACAUGUUUUUUUACACUAUGGUGUAGAAAUGAAAGCCUAGAUUCAAUCAGAUCAGGCGUUAGCUGAAGGUAGCGACACCCGCAUAGCUGAUGCUUAGGUGGUGUCGGAGGUGGAAAUGCGUUGGAGUUGAGCAGCUGCUCUUGGGAUCAUUGUCACGCAGCCACACCCGUCUCACUCGCGUUAGAAGUUCAGAACCAGAAAGUGUAUCCUAUAUAGAAAUAAUGACGCUCAAAUUUAAAAUCAUUAAACAAAAUAAUUAUGAUUUCUAUCAGCCUAAUCGAGGUGUAGAUUACAUCUCACAUCCAAGUGUUCGAACUUGUAAACAAGGCUGCAUUGGAUUUCUCUUCUUGCGAAUCCGUGCAACCAAUGGCACUACUCGCUUUAGGUAUAAUGCCACUAUGUGGAUGUCGGCUAAAGCGUAUCUGAUUGAAUAGAGUUAUAAAUAUGGACACAUACUGUAAGAAUUCUCUGUGUUCAGCAUAAUUGCCCAGAUUAAUAACUUCAUAACGAAGCAUGAAAGAGUUGAUGUGUGUAUACUAUCCUCUGUAUGAUGACAUUAUAUUGUUCUCAAUCUAAUCAGAAUUGAAAUGACAUUUCCUGAAUGUAUAGUACAGUGUUAAAUUGCCGUCAUGAGGAACAUAGGUUGAUUUUCAGGAACUGUGUGAAAGGACUGUGCAUGUAGCACUCCAGGAAUGAAUUGUUCAUUGUCAGCCUUAAUGAAAUACAGUGCUGCAAAUGAACUCUUAUUAGAAUUAAGGCAUGCAGGAAACGUACCCUGUAGCACAAUAAUGCAGGCAUCGGUCGGCUGUGUGUGUGUGUGUGUGUGUGUGUGUGUGUGUGUGUGUGUGUGUGUGUGUGUGUG
rnacentral:lncRNA from 1 species